rnacentral:rRNA from 1 species
AUUGAACGCUGGCGGCAUGCCUUACACAUGCAAGUCGAACGGCAGCACGGGUGCUUGCACCUGGUGGCGAGUGGCGAACGGGUGAGUAAUAUAUCGGAACGUACCUUAUUGUGGGGGAUAACGCAGCGAAAGCUGUGCUAAUACCGCAUAAUCCCUAAGGGGGAAAGCGGGGGACCGUAAGGCCUCGCGCAAUUAGAGCGGCCGAUACCUGAUUAGCUUGUUGGUGAGGUAAAGGCUCACCAAGGCAACGAUCAGUAGCUGGUCUGAGAGGACGAUCAGCCACACUGGGACUGAGACACGGCCCAGACUCCUACGGGAGGCAGCAGUGGGGAAUUUUGGACAAUGGGGGCAACCCUGAUCCAGCAAUGCCGCGUGAGUGAAGAAGGCCUUCGGGUUGUAAAGCUCUUUUGUCAGGGAAGAAACAGCAGCUCUAACACAGUUUGCGAAUGACGGUACCUGAAGAAUAAGCACCGGCUAACUACGUGCCAGCCGCCGCCGGUAA